rnacentral:rRNA from 1 species
GACGAACGCUGGCGGCGUGCUUAACACAUGCAAGUCGAACGGAAAGGCCCUGCUUUUGUGGGGUGCUCGAGUGGCGAACGGGUGAGUAACACGUGAGUAACCUGCCCUUGACUUUGGGAUAACUUCAGGAAACUGGGGCUAAUACCGGAUAGGAGCUCCUGCUGCAUGGUGGGGGUUGGAAAGUUUCGGCGGUUGGGGAUGUACUCGCGGCUUAUCAGCUUGUUGGUGGGGUAGUGGCUUACCAAGGCUUUGACGGGUAGCCGGCCUGAGAGGGUGAUCGGCCACAUUGGGACUGAGAUACGGCCCAGACUCCUACGGGAGGCAGCAGUGGGGAAUAUUGCACAAUGGGCGGAAGCCUGAUGCAGCAACGCCGCGUGCGGGAUGACGGCCUUCGGGUUGUAAACCGCUUUCGCCUGUGACGAAGCGUGAGUGACGGUAAUGGGUAAAGAAGCACCGGCUAACUACGUG